rnacentral:lncRNA from 1 species
GACUAUGUGAGAAUAAAGAUGCGACAAACAGUAAUUACAAUGUCAACAUUCGUAGUGUUUCAGUACUAAACUCUUAUCGAAUUGACAUUUUUAGAAAAAAAAACCUACAAUCAUAAAUUAUUAGACGAUGCACUCAAAUUUUUGGAAAAUGGUAAAAAUGAAAACAAUUGGACCCUUUUUUUGUGUACAUACUCACUUAUCCACUAUAGUUUUUGCUUUUCAGUAUCAUCAAUAAACAAACUUUGUUUCUCCC